GAUGAACGCUGGCGGCGUGCCUAAUACAUGCCAGUCGAGCGAACAGACGAGGAGCUUGCUCCUCUGACGUUAGCGGCGGACGGGUGAGUAACACGUGGAUAACCUACCUAUAAGACUGGGAUAACUUCGGGAAACCGGAGCUAAUACCGGAUAAUAUAUUGAACCGCAUGGUUCAAUAGUGAAAGACGGUUUUGCUGUCACUUAUAGAUGGAUCCGCGCCGCAUUAGCUAGUUGGUAAGGUAACGGCUUACCAAGGCAACGAUGCGUAGCCGACCUGAGCGGGUGAUCGGCCACACUGGAACUGAGACACGGUCCAGACUCCUACGGGAGGCAGCAGUAGGGAAUCUUCCGCAAUGGGCGAAAGCCUGACGGAGCAACGCCGCGUGAGUGAUGAAGGUCUUCGGAUCGUAAAACUCUGUUAUUAGGGAAGAACAAAUGUGUAAGUAACUAUGCACGUCUUGACGGUACCUAAUCAGAAAGCCACGGCUAACUACGUG
rnacentral:rRNA from 1 species